GGCCGAGUGGCGGAAUUGGUAUACGCGUUCGACUUAAAAUCGAAUGGAGCAAUCCGUACGGGUUCAAGUCCCGUCUCGGCUACCA
rnacentral:tRNA from 1 species